CUUAAUCAGAAUAAAUUGAACCGGAACAGGUAGAAUGCAGACGAAGGCGUCUCCUUGUCAAACGAUGGUCUACCAAGACCUGAUGAUAAAUCUCCUGAUGCGAUGAUGACGACAUCUUGUAUGGAGACUUUAAUGAUUCCGUGUAGCUUCUGGUUAAGCUGAAACGAGAGUAUAAGGUGCGUUAGAGUCCAGAAGUGAUUGUAUAAAACAAAGGAUGUCUGUCCCGUAAUUCAACUUUAAUAUCGUCUAGUAACAUGAUAAUAAUAAACUAAACGUCCUCCCUUAGUGGUGUUAAAUAAGUAUCCCACCCAGACAAUAUAUAUAUAGCUCUAUAAG